CUGAUUGGUGUGGGAUGUUAAAAAAGACUUAUCUACAGAAAGGACUUUAAGUCUAAAAACUGAAGAAGGGGAAGCUGAAAGGGAAAUGAGACCUCUGGGCAGAGUAAGUUGGCUGUGUGGCUCAUAAGGCUGUUGGUUCUUUCCAGGAACUCAAAGAGGCUGGCUCCAGAAUGCAGUAAAGCACAUUUCGAUGCUGAGCACUUCUGUAAAAUGCAGUGAGGCACACUGCUUGGACUUGUGCUCACUGGGAACAUUACCUUAUUCACUCCUUGGAUUCAAGAUGGCUGCUCCUCAAUCUACAAUGAUUCAUGAAUUAUUGGACCAAUAUAAAAUUACAUUUCUCAUCUUUGAUCAAACAUUGUUAUACUCUAUUCCCAUAUACACUUCUCAGAGUUUUACCAAUAAAAACUAGAAAUUCGGAAGUUCA